rnacentral:lncRNA from 1 species
UUCCCAGAAUCCUCUUUGAUUCCUAGACCUGUCUAACUUGCUGUCUCAUUGGCCAAACAGUAUUUUAUCAUCCAGUAAGACAAACACAGAGAAGCACUUCCCCCAUCAUUUCUCCACUGUUAUUCACCAACAACCACUGUAUAUCCUUUAUAUCCUUUUAAUAUUUUUAGGUUUCCCAUAAUAUAUCCUUUCCUAAGUCUUUUUUUUUUUUUUUUUUUUUGUACAGGACUAUCAUCUGACCUGAACUACUACCAUCUUCAGGAGUCCAUCUGUGUCACGGGCCAUGAAGAUACAUGGCACAGAUGGACAUUUUGUAGACAUGAUGGAUGCCAAAGCACACUAUCCCAAAUAUGCUGUCAACCUGCAUUCCCUGUCAGUUGCUUACCCUUGGGAUCAAGCGAACAACUGGACACUGUGGCUCCCUGCCAAUAUCCAGCAUCAUGAGAGACUACAAUAAGACACACAUAUUUCUAUUCUGAGAAAAGAAGAAAAUUCAAAGUAUGUUUUCUCCUGACUGUGAUAACAUCAUUGUAAAGUCAAGCAGUUAUUAAGUCAAAUUAUCCUAUUUCAGGAGCCAUCAAUAAUUAUUAAGAAGACAUUGACAGUAUACAGGUUCUCAUCUUUAAAAAAGGUUUAUAUUUUCUUAUUUACACAGUAUGUGUGUGUGGCUGUGUGUUUAUGUGCACUAUGUGCAUGUAGGUGACUGAAGAAUACACAGGGUAUCAGAUUAGAUCCCCUGGAACUAGAGUUAAAAUGGUUAUGAGCUACCGGAUGGAGGAGAAGGGUAUUGAUUCCAUAUCCUCUGCAAGAGCAGCAAACACUCUUAAGUGCAGAGCUAUCUCUCCAACACUACUAGGUUUUAUUGUGUAACAUUGUAGUACAGAUGCUAAUCUCAAAACUCUACUGUGGUUAGAGUGCAGUUCUCUUCUUUCUGCUUCACUGCUCCUGUUUUCAGCCACCUAACUACUCUGUCAAGUCAAUUUAUCAGCAAUUUUCCAAAGUAUACUAUUGCCAUUUCUACUUAUUAGGAUGCUAUAAUUGAUAUUCUUCUUAUAAGUAUUAUAGUAUAAUUAAUGAAAAUCUAAUACAUAUGUAGAAAUUAUUUUUUAAAAUUCCAUUGGAUGCUUCAUUAAAAUAUGGGGCAUAUACUUUAGGUUAUAUUCUAUGCUAAAAGUUAAAGUUAAGCAACCAAGAGUCUGGAAGAGUUUGGUCAUGUCAAGAUCAAAGUUAGACUCAAAAGAUUAUAUAAAUCAGUAAUGUAUAAACUUGGAAAAUUACUUAAAUUCUUUGGCUCUCAAUUUCCUUAUUAAACAAUGAAUGCAUACUAUUUCUUCAAGGCAGGGUAACACUAUGGCAGCCAUGAUUCUAGACAACUGAUCAGGGCACUAUGUUUUUAUGAUUCAACAUUUUUGUUCACUUGAUCAAAAACGCAUCCAUUAUUAUAAAUAAGUAAGAAUUCAGUUGACUACUCAUUUCAUUUCUAGAAGUUCUGUAAUCAACUAGAAUGUUCUAAAUAAUAAUUUGACUUUCCUUGUGGUAACCACACAUCUGUUUUCCCUUUGACAAUUAAAUGCUUCUUUUUGGCCUCAGCCUCUAAAACUGGAGGAAUUCUCUGAUGAGGGAUGUCCAACUGUAUACUGGAAUAUAUGUUUCUCUUUUUGGUUGAUGAAUAAAGCUGUCUCAGCCAAUGGACA